rnacentral:rRNA from 1 species
CAGCAGCCACGGGAAUACGAAGGGGGCUAGCGUUGUUCGGAAUCACUGGGCGUAAAGCGCACGUAGGCGGACACUUAAGUCAGAGGUGAAAUCCCAAGGCUCAACCUUGGAACUGCCUUUGAUACUGGGUGUCUUGAGCUCGGGAGAGGUGAGUGGAACUGCGAGUGUAGAGGUGAAAUUCGUAGAUAUUCGCAAGAACACCAGUGGCGAAGGCGGCUCACUGGCCCGAUACUGACGCUGAGGUGCGAAAGCGUGGGGAGCAAACAGGAUUAGAUACCCGCGUAGUCCCUGUCUCUUAUAA